ensembl:lncRNA
GACCAUGGUAAACAGACAGUAGUUUUAGCUUGGAGCUCACCUGUUGUCUCUCCCGCUCCACGCUCCGCUCUGCGAGUGUUUUUACCACUCAAUUGAACUGCUGGCUGUCUCUCACUGUCCCUAAACAGACGAGCGAUCUGUCUUCUUAACGGCCAAAAGAACGUAGUAUCACUGCGUCCGUCCAGUUGAUCAUAAACAAGCUGAGCAGCCCAUGGUCUGCCUGUGUUAUUUACUUCUGCUGUCAACCGAGGCAGCGCGCUGCUCUGGCUCCACUACGGGGGACUUCCCUCUGUGACAAGAACACUUGAUGUGCGUUCAGCGAACAAAGAACGACACAGUUGCAAUGAGAAGAGUGUGUACGCUGAAAGGACUUGCAGUCUACCUCAAUGAAGAUCCGAACAGCUUGAUCAAAGAAUAUCAGGAUGUGGACUUCCAUGAGGCCGAAAGUGAAAUGGAGAAGACGCUCAUUGGCAUCUACAUCAUCAAACCAGAAGGAGAGCGUGACCUUGACCCGGCAGAAGACAUUGGUAUCAUAAUUGAGGGUGUCGCUGUGCUCAGAGAUCUUCCUGAUGUUGCCACUGCUGUUGUGUUGUUGUUCGGCCUGAUCUACACUUUAAACAUGAGCUACCCAUCCAACCUCAGGUACACUUUUGAGUUUUUCAGAAAGUACUGAUGGGACUUGAUGCUAAGAAGCUAUCAAACAAAGUUCAAGU